GGUCCUAUAGCUCAGUUGGGAGAGCACCUGCCUUACAAGCAGGGGGUCACAGGUUCAAGUCCUGUUGGGACCACCA
rnacentral:tRNA from 2 species